UAGUUUUUUUUAAACAUUUUUUUAGUACAUAAUAGCUUUAAUAAAAUUUAAUUAUAAUAAUUUUUCGCGAAAUUAGAAUCAGUGUUUGUUCGCCGAUUAUCAUUUACGGACGCGUCAAUAGUUUAUUACUUUUUUUUUUUUUUUUACAAAUUUUCGUUUUCGGUAUAGGGUAAAAUCAGUGCUCUCAAGAACAUAAGGCGAUCAUCCAUCACGCGAAGAGGUACUGUCAUCAUGUCAUCAUUUGGACUUUUGAAAAAAAAAUUUUAUGGUCGCGCGCAAUGCGAUCGGUAGAAUCAGUGUUUAUUUCGUAAUAAAGUAUUUUUAAUAUUUUUUAGAGCACAACUGCUCUUAUUCAAUUUAAUUAAAUAAUAAUCAUUCGCGAAAUUAGAGUCAGUGUUUGUUCGUCGAUUAUUAUUUACGGACACGUCAAUAGUUUAUUAUUUUUUUUUUUUUUUAUAAAUUUUCGUUUUCGGUACAGGAUAAAAUCAGUGCUCUGAAGAACAUAAGGCGAUCAUCCAUCACGCGAAGAGUUUUCAUCCUUCUACAUGGGUCAUGGGUCAUGAUAGCAUUGAUGGCAAUGCAGAUUCUUCGCAUCUAAUGGUGAGUCGCAUGCUUUUUGGUUCCUCUGGUCAUUCAAUCAUGUCGUAGGAUGAAAGAUCCGAAUCGACACGGGUGACUGGUUGUAUACGUAGAUUUUUUGCACGAGCACAAUGACCG